rnacentral:lncRNA from 1 species
AGCUCCUGGUACAUUAAACGGGCCACUGCGGUUCCAUAUUGAAAUGCAACUACCACCUGAAACAUGACUUCUUGAAGGAAACAUGGAUCCAACUCUGAUCACAUAGCAUGGAAAAUGAUAAUGCUGACUCAUGGGUGAGAAGACCAGAAAGGGGACCAGAGUUGGGACACAACCCAGUCAAGGAAUGCUCUGUCUUAGAGAACAAGCUUCCAUGCUACUGUUGCCCUGUGGAAAGAUCUAACCAGGAGGAACCCGGGAGUCUCGAGCCCACAGCAACUUUGUUGCCAGCUUUCUGAAGAUAAACAACUGAAAACAAGGAAUGAAUCCGAUGGGAUCCUGGUUCUGGACUUUCAGUUCAUGGUGCAUUGGUCUCAUUGGAAUGGACACUAUGGAGGGAGCACAGGGUAGAACAGGUCUGCUUGCCUCCUGGUGGCCAGCAAGCAGAGAGCAACAGGAAAGGGCUGAAGUCCCAGUGUCCUCUUAAGAGUGCAACCCCAGCAACCUUUAACAUGCUUCCUCUAAGUCCCACCUUUUAGCAGCUCCAAGCCUUUAACACACAUGCCUUUGGGAAGCAUUUAAGAUCCAAACAGUAUUGUCAGAGGGGAGCUGAGGUCCCCGACCCAACAGCCUGUUAGGAAAUGAGUUGUUCUAACAGCCAUGUGAGUUGGAAGUCAGUCUUCACUCAGCUAAGCCCUGGAGUGACA